UGACCUCGGAUUAGAUGUGAAUACCCGCUGAACUUAAGCAUAUCACUAAGCGGAGGAAAAG
rnacentral:rRNA from 1 species